rnacentral:lncRNA from 1 species
AGGCCCCAAGAUUUUCUCCGCUGAAUAUUGCAAAAUAAAUGCUUUAAGAAGAAGGUCAGAUCGACAAUCGAAGAUCAAUCUUAAGGUUGGCUACUUCCUUCGUCCAAAGUGGUGAAACCAUUUUAGACUCAGAAGUGGGGGGCAAAUAUUGAGGAAGUAAUCCACCAUCCGAUCUGACCCCCUGACUUAAGCAUUUGCAGACCCCA